UGCAAUAGUGGAUAUUUGUUUGAGCUUUUUCCUUGUCCUUCUCAAAAUGGGAACUGAUUGAAUUCGUAAGCCUCGUUGGAUUUGGAGCCUCUUCUUUUAGGUAAUUUUACAAUAUAUUUUAUUUUUCCCCUUUUUUAAUAUUUAUUUUUAAAAUUUUUUUAUAAUAUUUGUAUAAUUAUUUGUUUGUUUGGUUUGAAUUUAUGCACUGUUUGUGUUUGAUAACCAAGAAACUGGAGGAAAACGAGUGGCACCAAAAAUACUGUAUGCCUAUUUUGAUACUUUCGGAGAAACACAGUGAAGGCAGUUUUAGAAUCCGCGUAAUAGCAGGGUAGAAAAUGUUGGUGGAAACAUAUUUCCCUAAUUAUAAAGAGCUGAUUUCCGAUGCCCAUUCGUUUCUAUAUGCUUAAUGUUAAAAGGAUCCAUCCACAUUAAUAAUUAAAAUUUUGAAGAACGAAUGCUUUGAAAAAUGCUUCUUGAAGUAAGAAUUGUGUAAGCAUUAAGCUCCUAUAAAGAAAGUUUCAUGUGAAAAAGCAAGCUUUCAGACAAAUUGCAGAAUGCUUACACUCCCUAUAAUUUUUUAGCAAGCUGAUCACCAUUAAAGUUUCAAACUUUAAAAUUCAUGGGAAAUUUUAAGAUAAAGCUACAUAAUAAUCUCAGAAGAAAUUAUUUCUAGAACUGAAAAGAAACAAAGGAAAAGACAGAAAGUGCACUUCAGAAUAAGUACUGUUGGCUUGGUAUUGGUUUGGGAUGGACGGAGGGCUUCAGAAUAAGGCGAUUUAAAGUGAUCCAUGUAUACUGAUCUCUAAAUUCUUGCAAUUAUAUUUCUGAUUUGCAAUUGUACUUCAGUCAAAUAUGUUUUGCUAAUUUCUUUAGUAUCAACUUCAGAUAAUUUCAUUGUUUUAAUUUUAUAAUUCCUGUAUUAUGUGUUAUGCCAAUGUCAUUAUUCUUCACACGCACAAAAGAGAAUGAAGAGAGAAGAACAGUGGUAAAGCUAUUUCUGCCUUCCAGUUUCAUCUUCUCUCUUUCUUAUCCUUUCUCCUUUGUUUUUUUCUUUCUUUCCCUUUUUCUACACUCUCUCUUGCCUUCCCUCAUUCUUCUUUUCUUCAACAUGAGGUACACAGAAUCACCAUUGGCACCACAUCAUCAGGGUUUCAAAUAACAGCCAUUAGGAAAUGUAAUCGCCCUUACGUAAGCAACGACCGUUAUUUAUAGGUUUUGGAAAGGCCCAUUGCACAAUACACCGUUAUUUGCAGGCAAACUUAGAGUUGUAGGUGUAACGGCCAUUACAACUUAUUUACCAUUAUGCAAUGAUAACGGCUUGCUGCAAUCACAUGAAAAUAGUGUUAUUUUGGUUCUCAUUUUAUUUGUUUGUGUAUUCUCUCUUCCACAACUGCUAUAUCUCUCAUAUUAUCUUAAAUUUUUCCAAAUUUCUCAUUUCUUCAAUAAAUUCUCUUCCUUAUUUUUUGCUAAGCUAAAAUCAUCAUUAAAUA
rnacentral:misc_RNA from 1 species